GCAAAGGAUAAUCUGAUGGCUUACCGUGACAGUGCCCAAAAGCUGACCAGGGAAAGGCAAAAGACGGGCAACCUACAGAGGAGGCUGGAUGAGCUGAAUGAAAAGCUGUCUCAGACAUUUCAGGCACCCUCUUAUGAGAAAGGUGA